GACGAACGCUGGCGGCGUGCUUAACACAUGCAAGUCGAGCGGUAAGGCCCUUUCGGGGUACGACGAGCGGCGAACGGGUAGGAGUAACAACGUGGGUGGACCUCGCCCUCCAGCUCUGGGAGUAAGACCUCGGGAAACCGGGGUACCGUAAUAACUGGAGUAUGACUCCAUGACGCAUGUUGGUUGGGGUGGGAAAGACCUU
rnacentral:rRNA from 1 species